GAUGAACGCUGGCGGCGUGCCUAAUACAUGCAAGUCGAGCGAACGGACGAGAAGCUUGCUUCUCUGAUGUUAGCGGCGGACGGGUGAGUAACACGUGGAUAACCUACCUAUAAGACUGGGAUAACUUCGGGAAACCGGAGCUAAUACCGGAUGAUAUUUUGAACCGCAUGGUUCAAAAGUGAAAGACGGUCUUGCUGUCACUUAUAGAUGGAUCCGCGCUGCAUUAGCUAGUUGGUAAGGUAAUGGCUUACCAAGGCAACGAUGCAUAGCCGACCUGAGGGGGUGAUCGGCCACACUGGAACUGAGACACGGUCCAGACUCCUACGGGAGGCAGCAGUAGGGAAUCUUCCGCAAUGGGCGAAAGCCUGACGGAGCAACGCCGCGUGAGUGAUGAGGGUCUUCGGAUCGUAAAACUCUGUUAUUAGGGAAGAACAUAUGUGUAAGUAACUGUGCACAUCUUGACGGUACCUAAUCAGAAAGCCACGGCUAACUACGUG
rnacentral:rRNA from 1 species